AGGUUUUCCGUUGAUCUUCAUGCCUCCAAGCUCAUCCAGGUUUUAAUGGUAUUUCGGGACUACUUGGAUUAGGACCUUGUUGGUGCUAGUUUUGUCAGGUGGUGAGACGUCCGGAAAAGGCAAAGGAAUUGCGCCU
rnacentral:sRNA from 1 species